AUUGAACGCUGGCGGCAUGCCUUACACAUGCAAGCCGAACGGCAGCACGGGAGUAAUCCUGGUGGCGAGUGGCGAACGGGUGAGUAAUGCAUCGGAACGUGCCCAGUCGUGGGGGAUAACGCAGCGAAAGCUGUGCUAAUACCGCAUACGAUCUAUGGAUGAAAGCGGGGGAUCGCAAGACCUCGCGCGACUGGAGCGGCCGAUAUCGGAUUAGCUAGUUGGUGGGGUAAAAGCUUACCAAGGCGACGAUCUGUAGCUGGUCUGAGAGGACGACCAGCCACACUGGAACUGAGACACGGUCCAGACUCCUACGGGAGGCAGCAGUGGGGAAUUUUGGACAAUGGGCGCAAGCCUGAUCCAGCAAUGCCGCGUGCAGGAUGAAGGCCUUCGGGUUGUAAACUGCUUUUGUACGGAGCGAAAAGGCUCUCUCUAAUACGGGGGGCUCAUGACGGUACCGUAAGAAUAAGCACCGGCUAACUACGUGCCAGCAGCCGCCGUAA
rnacentral:rRNA from 1 species